rnacentral:rRNA from 1 species
AACGCGAAGAACCUUACCUACCCUUGACAUCCUGAGAAGACUAUAGAGAUAUGGUUGUGCCGAAAGGAACUCAGAGACAGGUGCUGCAUGGCUGUCGUCAGCUCGUGUUGUGAGAUGUUGGGUUAAGUCCCGUAACGAGCGCAACCCUUAUCCUUAGUUACCAUCGCGUGAUGGCGGGGACUCUAAGGAGACUGCUGGUGAUGAACCGGAGGAAGGCGGGGACGACGUCAAGUCAUCAUGGCCUUUAUGGGUAGGGCUACACACGUGCUACAAUGGGGCGUACAGAGGGUUGCCAACCUGCGAAGGGGAGCCAAUCCCAGAAAGCGCCUCGUAGUCCGGAUCGGAGUCUGCAACUCGACUCCGUGAAGUCGGAAUCGCUAGUAAUCGCGAAUCAGAACGUCGCGGUGAAUACGUUCCCGGGCCUUGUACACACCGCUCGCGA